AUACCAAUGUAUUCUAGUAAUAUGAAUUUUUUGAAAAAAAUCAUAUUACUAGAAUACAUUGGUAU